rnacentral:rRNA from 1 species
AAUGAACGCUGGCGGCGUGCUUAACACAUGCAAGUCGAACGGCAGCACGGGUGCUUGCACCUGGUGGCGAGUGGCGAACGGGUGAGUAAUACAUCGGAACGUACCCAGUCGUGGGGGAUAACGUAGCGAAAGUUACGCUAAUACCGCAUACGUCCUGAGGGAGAAAGCGGGGGACCGUAAGGCCUCGCGCGAUUGGAGCGGCCGAUGGCGGAUUAGCUAGUUGGUGGGGUAAAGGCCUACCAAGGCGACGAUCCGUAGCGGGUCUGAGAGGAGGGCCAGCCACACUGGAACUGGGACACGGUCCAGACUCCUACGGGAGGCAGCAGUGGGGAAUUUUGGACAAUGGGCGAAAGCCUGAUCCAGCCAUUCCGCGUGAGUGAAGGAGGCCUUCGGGUUGUAAAGCUCUUUCGGCAGGGAAGAAACGGCUUGGGAUAAUACCCCGGGCUAAUGACGGUACCUGAAGAAGAAGCACCGGCUAACUACGUACCAGCAGCCGCCGUAA